GCCUUCAUGAAGCCGGAAUUGCUAGUAAUGGCAGGUCAGCAUACUGCCGUGAAUACGUUCCCGGGCCUUGUACACACCGCCCGUCACACCAUGAGAGUUGGGAAUACCCGAAGCCUGUGAGCUAACUUUACGAGGCAGCAGUCGAAGGUAGAAUCAAUGAUUGGGGUGAAGUCGUAACAAGGUACC
rnacentral:rRNA from 1 species